rnacentral:rRNA from 1 species
UACGGAGGGUGCGAGCGUUGUCCGGAAUCACUGGGCGUAAAGGGCGCGUAGGUGGCCUGUGGAAGUCUGCGGUGAAAGCCCGGCGCUCAACGCCGGGUCUGCCGUGGAUACUCUCGGGCUCGAGCUUACUAGAGGCAGAUGGAAUUCCGGGUGUAGCGGUGGAAUGCGUAGAGAUCCGGAAGAACACCGGUGGCGAAGGCGGUCUGCUGGGGUAAUGCUGACACUGGUGCGCGACAGCGUGGGGAGCAAACAGG